rnacentral:rRNA from 1 species
CCUACGGGUGGCAGCAGUGGGGGAUAUUGCACAAUGGGGGAAACCCUGAUGCAGCGACGCCGCGUGUGGGAAGACGGUCUUCUGGAUUGUAAACCACUGUCCCCAGGGACGAAAAUGACGGUACCUGGGGAGGAAGCUCCGGCUAACUACGUGCCAGCAGCCGCGGUAAUACGUAGGGAGCAAGCGUUGUCCGGAAUUACUGGGUGUAAAGGGAGCGUAGGCGGGGAUGCAAGUUGGGUGUCAAAACUACCGGCUCAACCGAUAGUCGCACUCAAAACUGCAGCUCUUGAGUGAAGUAGAGGCAGGCGGAAUGCCUAGUGGAGCGGUGAAAUGCGUAGAUAUUAGGAGGAACACCAGUGGCGAAGGCGGCCUGCUGGGCUUUUACUGACGCUGAGGUUCGAAAGUGUGGGGAGCAAACAGGAUUAGAUACCCGAGUAGUC